UACGUAGGUGGCAAGCGUUGUCCGGAAUUACUGGGCGUAAAGGGUGCGUAGGCGGCUUUCUAAGUUGGAUGUGAAAACUAUGGGCUCAACCCAUAGCCUGCAUCCAAAACUGGAGAGCUCGGGUUCUGGAGGGGAAAGCGGAAUUCCUGGUGUAGCGGUGAAAUGCGUAGAUAUCAGGAGGAACACCGGUGGCGAAGGCGGCUUUCUGGACAGAUACCGACGCUGAGGCACGAAAGCUAGGGGAGCAAACAGG
rnacentral:rRNA from 1 species